ensembl:lncRNA
AGGGCAGCAGUGCUGGGAGUGGAGAUAGGAGCUUUCUGCCUUCCUAAAGGGGAUGCUAAAGACCUGCAGUGGCAAUAGGACCCCUAGUUGUUGGAGUGCACCAAGCACCUUUGUCCCAUCGCUCUCACCGUGCCAGGAGAAGAGUAAAGUCGUCAUGGUUUCUGCAGACUGUCAGCAGUGUGCAAAAGAGGUGCAGGGGCUGAACCACAUUGACUGGUUUGGGCAAUUCAGAGCCUGCAGGAACAGCCGGGGAGGGCUGUGCUUCAUCUCUGCUGCUCCUCCAAACAGAAAUGGAAAAAACAGGAGGAGGAGGAUGGAGGGGAGGUGGAGAGAGAGAGGAGAGAGGGUGAGAGAUCUGGUACAGCAUGAGCAGUGCUGUCGGAGCAAGCUGAAGCUUUUGGAGAGAAACAGCGCUUGGGAGUGGUGCAGAACUGGAAAUGGCUUUUGAAUCUUUCUGUUAUACUGUACAGUAAAUGGCUGGGAUACCUCUAAUAGUGAGGAAGGAGCUGUCUGGCUGGCUGAGGCUGUGCUGCUGCAGGGGUUGCUGCAGCAGCAGUGCUGUGGUCCCCACGGGCAGCAGCAUCCCACCCGCUGCUCCUGGAUGGGUGCCUGGGGCAAACGCUGCAGGAAGCACACUGCACAGAACUGAGAUACCCGAGAUAGAAACCAGUACCUGCACUGGGAGAAACUGGGGAGCUGGUGUUCUUUCCCAGCAGCACUGGGCUGUGCAUGCAGUCCUGAGGCCAGAGGAGGAGGGCUGACCACAACAUUACACACAUCACAGACCUGCCACAACCCUCUGCAUGUGUGGGGAAGAGGAAGUCCUGCCCAAGCUCACUGGACACUCAGGGAAUUGCCCAGAGCCCAGCAGACAGGACCUGUUUCCAUCGCACAGAGGUGUACCGGGCUGCUACACGUGAGUGUUAUACCCAUGAGCACUCGUGAUGGUGGUGGUGGAAGAGGUCACUCUGGCUGUGUUGGAUCAAGUCCUGAGAGCGUUCCUUCAGGGUGGAAGAGCCUGAGCGAUGCUGUUCCUUUUCUGACUCCUCCAAAGGCCAUCAAAGUCCUCCAGGUAAAGCAAGGAAGUCAGGACAUGGCAGCUCUAAUGUAAGACUGUGGGAAGAGGAGACAGCUGCUUUAAAAAGCAACCUUUGCAAGGUCGUCUCUGAGCAACGCAGAGCAGCAGCACAGAGCUCGAGCACUUUUCUGCAAUUCAGCUUGAAAAGGCUGCAUCUUGCCCUUCCUUUAUGGGAAAGAACACAUGUGAUGACAGGUCCCCAGAGCUUUUAUUUUGAAGCCAAAUGCUUAGAGUGCAUGAAGACAGCAAAAGCCUUUUCCUUCAGGCGAUACAAAUCAAAUAAAUGGAGGCGCUGCACUGCAGUUCUGUGCAACUGACUUGCACACAAACUGCACGUGUGUCUGAGCAUCCGAAAUGCAGCCCUGAUGGGAGGUGCUGGGUGCUGUCAGCAGCCCUCCUGCCCCAGCUGUUUCCUACCUGCUUGGGGCCGGGGUGUCUGCCCAUGACUUGACUUUGCCACGCUGGACAAAUGUUCUUCAAUGUAAAUUGAAUAGUAAGCUAUGCUAAAGGCACAAAAUAAAAAAGCAAGUGGAUUUUGUAGCAG